rnacentral:lncRNA from 1 species
UUUAACCAAGUCGCUCCCUCCCGCCACCAUUUGGCGGCCGCGACUCCACCUCCACUGUCGAUCACGACCCGACCUCGCGCCUCCACUGCUGGCCAGGGCUCCACCUCCACCACUCCCUUCCGCAUCUGGUAUGGCUAAGUCUCCCUCCCUCAUCCCCUCCACCUCCACCAAACCCUAGACGCACAAGAUGGUAUGGUCCUGAACCCUCCUCACGGUUGCUUAUCUAUUGUUUGUACACAUGUAUGUGUAAUUUGAGGUGGCUGAUAAAUGAGUUGUUUCUUGUGUUUGAUUUAAUUUGCUAGUGCUUGUGGUUCAUUAGAGCUCUGGUCAUUCGUAUGAAACAAGGGCCCUGUGUUGUGAAGUGUAAAUUUGGGUUUCAAUAGAUGUAACUCACCAUGAAAAAAUUAGCAAUCGGGUAUUAAGAACUGUUGAGCACAACGGUGAAUCUAGGAUAAGAAAGGAGGAUGCACUGAAAUCACUAGUCACCAUGCUAAACUGAUAUACGAUUUAUAGUUAGUCUGGUGUUGUGGUGCAAGUUAGAAACUACUUAACUUGACUUUUGUGCUCCUUUUUUACAUUCAUUUUGCUCCCCUAUUCGAGAGUACUACCUAUGUUGCCUAAAACACAAUGGUGUCUAUUCUCCACCUAUAAAUCUUGAUCAUAUUGCGGCACACAACAGAUUGACAUAGUAAUGCGAGAAUAUAACACAGUAUGAUAUACACCAUUACAUGGCAUAUUUUCUUCUAACUAGUUUGAUGAUGCAACUAGCUGUAAUGUUCUUUAAAUUUUUCUGUACAACCCGACCAUUUUCUCUGAAUUAUUGUGUGCAGCACAAGUGGUACCAUUUUUUGUCUGAAAGUUUUCUUCCUUUAAAGUUUUGUGUGCUACCAUAUCAUGUGAAAUUUCUGAAGCUAAAAUUCGUAUGUUGCUUGUUUGGUAAUGCAUCAUAGUUUUUUUCCAUGCUUUGUUGGUUGAUCCAUGUUUUUAUUUCUACCAGGGCCUCAAGGAAUGUAAGAAGGCUGGCCAAAGAACUAGUGUGGAAAGACCCGCUGAUGGUCCUAGUCGAACUAACCUCGACCAACUAAGAGAGUUCAUGCGGACCUGCCAACUAAACUAGAACUACAAGGUCAAAGAAAAAAAGAUUACAAGGUGAUGAUGCAAGUGCUCAAAGAGAAGGGAUGUAAGACCCUAAAUGCGUGACUGCUCCUGUUGCUCAUGUCCUCCACGAUAAAGAAGUUGCUUGCAACUUUGAUGACCACACACAACAUGGUGUUGAAGGCAAGUUCUACCACCAUAUUUUUUUACUAUCUUGACCUUUUAUAGGAUUAAUGAAAUUAAGUAAACUAAAUGGAUUCACUUGAAUACUGAUAUUCACUUUAUAUUAAGGCAGGAAAUUGACCUUUGAUAUGUAUGAACUGAAUUUCCACACACAUGUUUAUAUCCAACAAAGUUUUAUAUCUUGUACUCCCUUAAUAUUUGUUUUUCCUUUUUAUGGCUUCAUUUCUUUCUGUUCCUUGCUAUCAAUAUCAUAUCAUGCUCAUGAUUCUAUCUUUCGACAUGGAUCGGUCAAGAAUAUCCAUGAAAUUAUGCAUGUUCUGGAUGCGUAUCUAUUUCCUCAUGGUAGUAAUAGUUUUCUAAGUAAUUUCAUGUUGCAUAUGUUAUAAAUUACUGGUAUUGUAGAUUAAAUUGCUUUCAGCUUUUAUUGUAUGAUCAAUCCACUUUCACUCGCUGCCCCUUUUAGAAGAUGAUGACCCUGUCCAUCGUGAUGCCAACAACUGUAUGGCCAAUGGAAGUGAUCUCAAUGCCUAGCCUGACAAGAACAACCAGAUGGUGAAUGAGAAAUGUGAUGACAAUCAGUCUGUUCAGUUCCUACCGAAAUGACUUUUAUCUACACUUUCUAAAAAACUGAAGGGAUUAGCCAUGAGAUGUAAUUUCAGAAUCUGAUUCUAGCAAUUCAAUCAUAU